GGUCUCAUACACCUCGGACACUCUGGACAUUACCGACAACGGCCCGGUCUGGCUCCGAUAGCCGCAGUGUGGAUGGCAGCAACACCAAGGACGAGCCAACGGAACAUCUGACCAUGAAGUUUGCCAGGCUGUGGAUUCUCCAGCCCUGCAAUCGCAGAAAAUCAUUCUCCAUCCACAUUAAAGCUCAGCCCUCUCCAUCACUGGUGCCCCUGACAACACAGGAAAUGGAUCCCACCCGACGGCAGACUCAGCCUCCACACUGUUUAUCACCACAAUUAUCCCCCAUUCAUUCACAGGCUUAUAAGGGGACAUACUGGGAUCUGCUAACGCACUGGAGGAGAGAAUGGAAGGAAGAAAUGGGAGAAGAGCUCAAUAAACAAAUGAAUAACGUAUUCAUGGAGUUGAUGUACUGACAGCCUGUACGAUAUACAGUAUCUGUGACAGAGAAUCUGAGUCUUCAUGUUGUAUCAAAGUUUAAUGACCAUAAAACACUUCCAAGAGUCAGUAAAGUCAGUCAGUAAAGUCUAACACUGUAAUGAAGGCAUCAAUGUCAAACAUGUGUUUAUUUUAAUAACAAUAACCCAUACGUAUUUAACUUCCAUUGUCCUUGAAGAAUGGCUGAAUAUUUUCUUGUAGUGUACCUGGGUAGGACUGUGUGGUAGUGGCACACCGUACAUUAUCCUGCAUGAGUUAGUGGAACGAAAGCCUGUUGUGAUUCCAACUCAUGCAUUGUGUUAUGGCAGAAACAUGUCAGUUUCAUUAUCAUAACUGUUCAUAUGGUGUCAUAUCUGCCCUUCCGUUUAUUGACGACCCAGUAAACGGCAUCAUAAAUAACAGUAUGUUGUUGAUGUGUUCAUUUGAACCAGUAAUGAAGUGAGGAAAAUAGCCAUCUACCAACCUUCAAUGACCAGGUGCACUUCACAUCCACCAAUCCCUGAAAGCAAACAUUUUCCAAUAUGAAGGUUUUGACCACAGAUGACACAAACACAUUCCAAACAACCACUUAAUCACUGCCACAUUGAGGAGGGCUCAGGAUCAGGAUUCAACUGGCAUAAUGAAAUCAUAAACAGAUCCCCUCAUCAAAUGGCUCUGUGAGUCGUGUGGUGGUCUGAUGGGGUUGACCCCUCACCCUCUCCCUGUGGGGGGCGUCUGGGGAGGGGGGGCACGGGAGAUCACACGACGGCCCUGUUCUGGCUCCAUGUCCACACAGACUGGCCUGUUCAGAGAGGGUGGAGGGGUGGAAGUGUUCCCCCUCGUCUGAAAGAGAGCACCAGGUGGCAGGGAUGUGGGCAGGGGGCUUUUGAUGCUGACCCCUGGUCUCUGGGCUGGGAUGGCCCUAGUCAUUGAUCCAGCCAAGGGAGGGAGGGGAGCCAGGUGCCCCUGGUGGGGCUUGGAAUGAGCUGCCACAGUCUGGGCAUGGAGGAGAGGAAUCUGGGCCACACUGGUCCCAGUCACGCCACUAGCCCGAGCCCCAGUGUUGACUGGCUAUAACAUUGUUGACAAGCUAUAACAUUGUUGACAAGCUAUAACAUUGUUGACCGGGUGAUGGACUAAGGGCUCGAUUCAAGCCGUAUCGCCGAAGUUCAGCGCUAUAGCGUGAUUUAAGUUUAAAUGCAAUGUUCCCGCGCUUGUGGAGACUGCAUUCAC
rnacentral:lncRNA from 1 species